CUACGGACUUAAUUGGAUUGAGCCUUGGUAUGGAAACUUACUAAGUGAUAACUUUCAAAUUCAGAGAAACCCUGGAAUUAAUAAAAAUGGCAAUCCUGAGCCAAAUCACGUUUUCCGAAAACAAACAAAGGUUCAGAAAGCGAAAAUAAAAAAGGAUAGGUGCAAGACUCGAUGGAAGCUGUUCUAACGAAUGGGAGUUUGAUUGUCUUACAUUGGUAGAGGAAUCCUUCUAUCGAAACUUCAGAAAAGAGGAAGGAUAAACCUGUAUACAUAGAAGAAUUGGUAUGAAUCGAUUCCAUAUUGAAGAAGAAUCAAAUAUUCAUUGAUCAAAGCAUUCACGCAUAAUAACUUGAUAGAUCUUUUGAAUAACUGAUGAAAUCGGACAGAGAAUAAAGAUAGAGUCCCGUUCUACAUGUCAAUACCGG
rnacentral:ncRNA from 1 species